rnacentral:antisense_RNA from 1 species
GUUUAUGGCUGCUGUACGCGAGGGCACCUCAGGGUGCGCCGGGUUUGCUCGUUGACCGGUCUGCUAACUCUCGUACAGCCGCCUCCACC